rnacentral:lncRNA from 1 species
GGCCGCGGCUGGGGUGGAAGGUCAGCGUGCGGCCAGGCUCGAGGGCAGCCUGUGGCUGGGAUCCUGAACAGGUCAAUAGCUUGGGUCAGAAACCAGUCUUGUUGGGGUCAGAGGCCCCUCGCUGGCCGGGGACAGGAGCUGGACUCUGGCCAGGAUCAGAACGUCGCCUGUGGCUGACACUGAGGUCACCCUGUGGUUGGAGGUCCUGAGGGAGCCGGUCAGGCCAGUGUCCUUCUCUGUCUCUGCCAGUCCCCGCGUCCUUGCUUCGUGUCCUCCUCGGACAGACCGGUGGACGCUCAGCCUCGGGUCCCCAGGGGGGACAGAAGCAGGGUCUGGGCCAGGUCCUCUGAGGCUGGCGAGGGUGGGCAUGAGGGAGGGGACAGCGUGGCAGCGUGGUGGCAGGAGGGUGCAGGUCUAGGUGUCCUCGACUCUGCACCCGUGGGCUCCGCGCCCUUGAACCCAACCAACUGCUGACUGAAAACUAUUUUUUUUUUAAAUUGCGUCUGUUUAGAACAUGUGCAGACUGUCCUCGUCACUGCAGAGUGACAGGGACCCCCAUGCACAGUGAGAGUGCUCACAGGGUAUCUCUAGUGAUCUGGAGAGGACUUACCGGGGACGGAGGGUGUGGGCAGGUCACCGGGACCCCCAUGCCAUUCCAUACAAGGGGCUUGCGCAUCCGUGGACAACGGUGUCUCUGGGGCACCAGGUGGGGUCAGGCACAUCUGCAAUCCCAGUGCUUGAGAGGCCGAGGCAGGAGGAUCAACAGUUUGAGGCCAACCUUGGAAACUUAGCGAGGCCCUGUGUCUAAAUAAAAGAUAAAAAGGGCUGGGGACGUGGCUCAGUUGAGUGAUCCUGGGUCCAAAGAAAAGAAAAGGAGAAACACAAGCCCAGCCCUAGCCAACUGGAACUGCGCAUGCGCAAUAUACCGAAUCGUGUGGGCGGGGCGAUUUUUUUUUUCCUCUUGGAUCUCUGUGGGUUUUUAUUAUUAUUAUUAUUAUCAUUAUCUUUUUCUUUUUAAUUUUUUGGUACCAGGGAUUGAACUCAGGGGCACUCAACCACUGAGCCCCAUCCCCAGCUCUAUUUUGUAUUUUAUUUAGAGACAGGGUCUCACAGAGUGGCUUAGGGCCUCGGUUUUGCUGAGGCUGGCUUUGAACUCGCGAUCCUCCUGUCUCAGCCUCCUGAGCCCCGGGGAUGACAGGCGUGCUCCACCAUGCCCAGCUUCUUUGUCCUUUUUAUACGAAAGUAACAUUAAGUUGAGAACGUUGCCAUUUCUUUGAUGGUGAUUUACACCCUCCCCUCCCCCGUCCACAGAGCCUUCGGUAUUCCAUCCAGAACAAGGGCAGCCGCCCAGUUAAGGCACCGGCGUGGGCAGGCAUGCUGCUGAGGGCCUCGCCUGCACCAACGUACUCCACUCCCCCCACACCGCCUCCAUGGAGAUACUAUUAUUUCCCCCACUUUACAGAUGAAGCAAGCACAGAGAGGUCGCCUACUGGCCCGGUGCCACACAGCUGGCCCUUGGCGCUCCCUGAUGCCUAGUAUUCCUCAGGCUCUCCUUUGGGGGGCUGGCGGGGUUGUGGGAGAAUGAAGGGAGGAGGAAGGUGGGGUUAGGUGGGUGCGGUCUCUGCGGCCGGGUUCCCCGCCCCCCGCGGGACCUUGAGCAGCUGAGAUGAAGACGGGCGCUGGGGCCCCUGUGGGCCGCCAGGGGGCAGCAGGAGUCAAGCAGCCGAGCUUUGGGGCGCUUUGCCGGAGGCUUUUCUGUGGCCAUCAGUGGAAGCCGGUGAGAUCUGAGCCAAGGGCUGAGUGACCUGCUGGGAACACUGGGGCUAAUCAAGAUCACCUGGUGUCGCAAUCUGUCAUGUGCUUCCCACGCCACCGCCGCGCGCCUCCCUCCUCUCCUAUCUAGGAGGAAACUGAAGCCCAGAGAGGUUAAGUACCUUGCGCCUGGUCACACAGCACCGAACUGGAGGAGGCCGAGGGUCCAACGAGGCAGAGGGCGCGGCCCCGCCCCUCCAGGCCGCACGGGAGAGAAAAGCUGGUGACUUGCCCCUUACAUCACGGGCAAGUCCCACGCGGGAACAUGGGGCCCUGACGGCACCGGGUGAGGUCAGGCCGCCCCUGCAGCGGGGGCUCGAGAACGCGCUGGGUUUUUUUCUCUCUCUUUUUGGUUUUUAAUUAAUGACCUCCGUGGGAAAAUAAUGCCAGAGGGUUGUGAACAGGAUGUCAGGGAGGGACUUCUCCAAACCCAGCCGCCCACGGGUGCCAGGUGCCCGGGGCACGGGGUUUCCGGUGGCUUCCGAAACGGGCUUUGAAGAGAAAUCCAAGCAGAUGCACUCGGGAGCCCCUGGGACCCCAUCUUUGUCAAAGCAGGAGUGGGGUGUGGUAUUGGGAGGGACCCCCCAAGGGGGCAGCUAGAGGCCCCCCAGAGCCAGCUGGGCCCUUCCAGAGGGGACCAGGCCAUCCCCAGCCGGCUCUGAUGGUGCCACCAGCACCCUGCCCAGUCCCCACCACGCUGACUGCCAGGAGAGGGGCUCCGACCUGCCACCCCCUCCCCGUGGCUCUUGGGGUGCCACGUGGGUGCAGUCUGUUCCCCCUGGUUUUCCUCCCUUCUAGAUCUUUCUCUCUUGCCUUCUAGGCCGAGGUGAAGGAAUAAAUGUCGUAGGAAUCAAGUUUAAAUGUUAGUAAACAAUUUAGAGCAAAGAUAAUCGCUGACGGAUGGCCAUGGAGUGAGAUCGUAAGGUCCUCGGUCGCACUGGCUGCCCGUCCGGGCGAGAGGCCACCUCAGAACAAGCCGGGAGAUCUUUCUGCUGCGAUUUAAACACAGCGGGACCCCCAGAGCUGGGCUGCGUGGGGUCCCCAGGGGGAGCACGGAGAGGCAGAAAUGGAACCCAGCUCUGGGGACAGAGGGACAGGGGGGCCUCCUGGUGGAGGUCAGGACUGGAUGAGGCCAGCAGGGUGGAGCCCCAGGAUGUUACCUGGUAGAGACCAGGGGACACUGGCGAGGUCCUGAACCACCUGCGGACUCUGCCAGCAAGGAGGCUGUCACCAGGGGUGGCACCUCAGCCUCGGGCCUCUUUUGUUUAUAACUCACCAAGUGUAUGGUGUCCUGUCCUUGGGAACAGGAAGUGGACUGGGGUCAUUCCCCUCUAGCCACAGCUCCGUGGGGUUCAUGGGACUCUAAAACCCCUCCCUAAGAUGACCCUAAGAGGAGCCAGAGUCCCCGCUCCUCCCUCUCCCCAGCCUCCCUUCCUGCAGACUUGAACUAACAUUUGGCCCUGGCUCGGGAUCUCGGCUUUUGUUAGCUUCAACAGUCACCCCUCAAGGAGGAGCUGACCCUAGGUCCCAGUCACCAGGGAGCACCGCCAAGGGGUGGGCAUGAGCCAGGGAGCCGUGAGGGCCAGGGAGGUGCAGGUUGGGGAGGCGCAGGCCGGGGAGGCGCAGGCCAGGGAGGCGCAGGCUGGGGAGCCUGGGGUCAUCAGGAGACCCUGCAUGGAGGCCCGGAGGAGGCCCAGGGGACCGAGAAGCUUUGGUUUCCAAGCCAUCUGCACCUUCUUGUAUCGCCACCUGUGUGCCCAGGCUGGGUAGGGGGACCCACAGAUUCUAUCACCUUUUCUACUUUACAGAUGAGAAAACUGAGGCCCAGGCGGGAUUAAGGGACAGAGGAGUGAGUAGCCAGGCUUCACGCCCACGGCCCUGGGGCUUCCUUGACUUAAUGGGAGAUCAGGGGCCAGGUUUUAAGGACAUUUUUAAAAGGUCCUUCCUUGAUCAAGGAAAUUCUGGGAGGCCUGGCAGUGGGUCCCCUGAUGUGAGUCAGCUCAUUCUGAUGGGGAUCUUUUUGUCCUAGGGCAAAAAUAUUAAUGAGGAGGAUUUCGACCAUCCCAGUUAGUGCUGUCAGGAGGAACGUUCGUUCUCUGCUUCUGCAAGGUGGAAGGGAGCCUUAUUGGGGGAACACUUCCAGUAGUUCCUCUUCUUCUCCUUGGCUCCAGAUUCUGGGGUACCUUAAGUUUGUGUGGGAUUGGGGGAAUUGACAGGAGGCUGCUUUCUAUUGCACCGGGUUUCUUAGUGCGUAGGGCUCACGGGUGUUUAUGCUAAAAUACAAACUCCUCACUCUGGCCCCAUCAUGCCCUGGCCAUGGUCCCUGGCUCACUUCUCCACACUUCUCGUGCCUCAGGGACUUUGCACGUGCUUGACCCUCCUCCAGCAUGUCCUCCCCCCAGUUCAUCCUGGCUUCUUCUGGUCACUGCGGGCUCAGGUCAAAUGUCACCUCCUUGACAGCCUCCCUAAGCACCAUCAGCACCCUGUAUCCGAGCUCUAUUUGCUUUCUUUGCAGCUCCUGCUGGUGUUUGCAACAUAGGCGCUCAAGAUCCCCUGCCCGCCUCCCUGGGACCCACCCCAUUGCUCCAUCUGCUUGGAAUGUUGAUCACCUACAGGAUGAUGAAGAUCCAGCCGCAGGCCCACCACGAACCCUUUCUGUGGUCUUGGCACAGUGUAGCAACCAGGGGCUGGGGUUGCGGCUCAGCGGUGGAGCGCUCGCCUAGCACGUUCGAGGACCUGGGUUCGAUCCUCAGCACCAAAUAAAAAUAAAUAAAAUAAAAGUACUGUGUCCAGCUGCAACGAAAAAAUAUUAAAAAAAAAAAAAAAGGUGUAGCAACCAGGGUUGCCAUCUGCCAUGAGCGCCUCAAACAUGGCCAGCGCUGUCUGAAGUUCCCUCCCGCCUCCAGAGCAGCUGGUAUUGCUGGAGAACUGGCGCCUGGAGACAGUCCUCUGCUAGCGACAGACGGCCCGCCCUCCACCAUUGACAGACGGCCCUGCCUCCACCAAUGAGGGUCGGCCUUCCCUCCACCAAUGACGGACGGCCCUGCCUCCACCAAUGAGGGUCGGCCUUCCCUCCCUUGGAUGACAGACGGCCCUCCCUCCACCGAUGACGGACAGUGCGCUGGGCAUGCGCCAUGAGGCGCUCGUGGCCCAGGCUGGGCGUCCUCUGGGUCACGCCCCUCGUCGCCUCUGUCCCUCCCCAACACCCCCGUAACUGGGUUUCCGGGAUCACUUGUUAAGUCCGCUGACUGCUCUCGGGUCCCGCCCCGGGGAACCCAAACAAAGGCCACCGGGCACUUAGCCCCGAGCCCCGCUCCGCCCGGGGAGGGCCCGUGUGCUCAGAGCCAAAGUCCCCACCGCGGUGCCGCCGUCUGU